CACCCAGCUAGCUCGUUAAAGGAGAAUCACCUUAUGAUUCUCUUGAAAGACACAGAAAGGCACUUCAUAAAAUCCAGUGUUUAUGAAUUUAAAAGCUCUUUGUAGAAUACCAACAGACGAAAACUUUCUUAACCCGAAAGGUUCCUUACCAGAAACGUGAUUCUUAAAGGUGAAGUGAGAGGGGCUCCGUCUGUGACCUUGUCUGCAAAAUCCCGUGUGGAUUAACUGUGCAAGGUAAAGUCUUCAACUUCUGAGUACGGUGACAUAACCACCUCCGUGGUGGGGAACAAUUGUUUAAGGCAACUAAACAAGUGUGAAACACUAGCCGUAAAAGUAGACAUUGAUUAAUCUAAUUUCAUUAAAAUACGAACAUCUGUUCCUCAGAAGACAACACAAAACUGUGAAAAACAGUCAUAAACUGAGGGUUGUCAGUGACACACGGCCAACAAGAGAAAGUAUGGAAGGUACAAAAGGCACCAAUAAGAAAAAGGCAUGUGACUGGACCAAAAUUUAAAGGCUGAAUUCAUUCUUUGGUUGGUUAUGCUAGAUUCAGAGGGGUUUUUUCAGGUUUUUCUUUCUAUCAUAAUGUUUUGUAACUUACAUGUGCUAUUUUAUGUGUAGCAAACCCAGAGGAAAUCUAAUAAUUCACAUAAACUAAGAGUUAAUGUGGGCUUCAGGUUCAGCGUGAACCAGAAGAUUAGUGAUGUCACCAAAGGUGUGUUUCUUUGGGAUUUCUUCCCUGUGACUUUGGGGGGUGGGGAGUUCACCCUCAGUCUGGCUUCCCUCUUGGUCACAAGGUGGCGUCCAGAAGCUCUCAGCCUGGUUUCUCUGUCCUCAGCCCUGGAGAGAGGGGAAUCCAGGCUCCAACAUCCCUGGUUGGGUCCCCCCGGGACAGCCACUCUUACCUGAAACAGGCCUGUGGCCAGAAGGGUGGAAGGGCCUCACCGCCCGGCACAGACCACCGGCCCUCCGCCUGAGGCUGCGAGCUGCUUCUCUGGGAAACUCAGCUCUUCAGGAUUGGGCGCCAGAAGGGAGGAGCGCGGCCCCGGGGAAGGAGGCAGAACGGUGAGCCGUCCAGGCCGCCCGGAACCACGGGAAACCCAGCCUGGCUCUGCUGGGUGGAGAAGGUGGCGCUGGGGGGCUGUGGAAGCAAACCAAGGACUGGAGGGUGUCCCCAGCGAGGGCGUGCGGCCUCCCGGGCUGACUCUGCUCCGCCGGCUCGAGAGGUGGCGCUCCCACAGCUCCGCCUGCCGCGGGCUCCGUGGAGGAGUCCCGUGCGCACCUGAAGCUACUGCGGACCGGAGCAAGGAUGGGCGCUGGGCUUGCCAGAAGCCAGCGAGCGGGUUCGCACCGUGCAGAGCCUGGCCUGCACCCGCGCCCGAGGUGACAGCGGCGGGGAGACCCCGCCCUCACCCUCCAGCUUCCCGCCCCGCCUCCCUAGGGCUCCUCUUGCACAGUUCCCCUCAAGACCAGUUUUGCAAGACGCAUAGGCCGUCUGAAGCCCACACCUGCCCGCCAGCGCCAGCCACUGCCCCGCCACUCUCAUCGCCCAGUGCUGGAAGGGUGGCGCGCACCAGGCCUCUCCUCCCGGACCUCGCAGGCCGCACCUCGCGUGACGGUCGGGACGCCCACGGACGCGGCGUGUCCUCAGUUCGCAGGUUUGGAAGCUGAGCGCCCAGUGCAGCAACGCAGCGGGAUCGCGUUCACAGCACCCGAGUCGCCGCUGGGCGCACGGGGACACUGCAGCGCUGCGGGAUUAAGGCGGCGGCCGCACUUGGAGUGAGGUCCCAUCGAUGCAAAGCUCUCCGACCGCCCCUCCUGCCGGCUCCCGCCUGCUGCUGCGCCUGUCCACUGGUACACUUUUCCCCAGCUUUGACUUUGGGGUCCAGGCUGGCCCAGGGCCUAGGCCAUCGGAGCAGCUGCACUGGGGUGUGAGGGCCUCCGGGAGCACCUGGUCCAGGCCACGCUCUCCAGUGUCUUUGGGGCAAACACAAACCCUGGAAGGAAGGGAGGGGCCACCAUGGCGAGGGGAGAAGCUUGCAGCCUGGGGCAGGGCCGGCUGGGAGCCCCCCAGGGCCACUCGGAGGGCAGCCCCCACCCCUCACCAGAAGGAGAGACUCCAGCGAGCACAUUUUAAACGAGGAUGUUUAUCAAAGGUGGAAAAGAGAAACUCAUUGUGUGACAUGGACGAUGUUCCCAUCCCCGAUUCUUAGGCAGAAUCCUCUCUGAGCAGCCAUUAAACAAAAACUUUCAUCUGUUCACCACGGGUGACUCCGGGGUGCGAGUGCGUGGUUUUGCACAGGAACUGACAAGCCAGCAGCCCACCACUCGGCCUGUUUCACAGCCUGAAUCCCUCAACAUGAUGUGCCCUUUGUUUUUAACUGGCUUAAGAGAAAGGAGUUGACAACCUGCAAGGCGGAGACUAGACGGACCUUCGAGGUGGGGACAGACCCUCGGGGGGGCGAGGAUGAGUGGGCCUGCUGUCGGGCCGCUGCCACCAAGUGCACGGGCCGUCCAGUGUGGCUCUCAGCCUCUGGAUGACAGGCCCGAGGAGCCACUCAGCCACUGUGUCGGGAACAACCCAGCUCCCUGGACCUGGAUUUCCGUGGGGACGUUGGCGCGGGGCCCUGCGCGCUCCCCCAGCCGGCACGGGGUGCAGAGCUGCAGCAGGAACGCCCAGUAGGCCGGGCUGCCGCCUGCACCCAGCCCCGCCUCCCCUCAGCCUGGCGGUGCCGCCCCCGCCCCCUUGGGGAGGUUUAGUGAAACUCUGAUCCCAAAAUCAGCCAAACCCCCC